UGCUAACGGUUAAAACCCCAGAGAUUUAAUGAGCUUUACAAGCCCACAAGGUGGGUCCCACAGACACAUGGCCGAGCCAACCGAUAGCGUGAGGGCAGCAGAGGACCUUGCUGUGACAAACACCCCAUCCCCACACAGCUGGGCUUUUUAAUAGAAAACUCUUUGGGGGAGUUGGGUUAACCUACCUCCAGCUGAGUAAGAGGGGCAUUUACUGCAAUGAUCCUACAAAAAAUAAAAUUAAAAAAAAAAAAAAGGGGGAAGCUUUCAAAAUAGUUAGGUGAUGCUUCCCUCUCCUUGGUUUUUGCCUUGGAGUUCAGCUGGUACAGGUGACAAUUGAUGAAGGAGGCUGCUGGAGCGUCACCAAGCCGAGGGAAAAGACACCUUUCUGUCUUGGCAAGGGCAGGGAGGGAAGCAGCGCUACCCCAGCAGGAGAUAGCAGAGCCAGAGGAAGAGUGUGCACAUGUGUGGAUUCCCCCCCCAGAAAGUGUAUUUUACAUCCCCACAUCGGUAAAACACAAUGUCCUUCCCAAGUGCUAUAGGUAAAUCUGAUCCUGGAGAGAAUGGCAAACUAGGCAAUGAUUUUCAGAGCAUUUCCUUUUCCUCCAGCAAAAGCCAAAGGGAAAAGGGCAGCAGCCAUUGAAACAGAGCAAAUCACCCUGUGGCAGCUGUGUCCCCAGACGGGCUGCAUUCAGCACACCCAGGUUUCUGCCACCGCCCAGAUUUUUCUUUUUCCCUGAAAUGCAGCUCUGCCCUCCCUGGUGUCUGCACAUCCACGUUUUCAGGGCAGCAGCCUCCUUCCUGUCCAGCGCAGGUGCCUGAUCCUGAACUUUGGUGCCUGUUUGCCCAGAAGCACCAUGACAGCCCCCUGACAAUGAUGAUUUUCAGCCCCAGACCCUGCCCUCCUUUGCCCAGCUCACAGGCACUGCUUUCCUGUCUCAUCCACUUCUCCUUCCCACCCCACUCCCCUUUCCAGCUGCUGACCCUAAGCUCCCUCCCACUUGCCCUCCUCCAGCUGUAGCACCCUGUGCCCCUGCUCCCCACCUGCCUUCCUCCCCUCUCCUCUUCACCAAGCCUCACCGAGUGCCUUCAGCCCCCCUGCAACUAGCUUCUGCCCUGCAUCCGCACCCAGGGCGCAUGGCCGCAGCUUACACCUCCUGCCGCCCCGGCUGUGCCACGGGUCAGAAGCUGAAGCCUUUUAUCAGGACUCCUACAAGCCAGCCACGUCUCGAGGGCACCCCAGCUGCAGGCUUCCCCUUGCAUUAGCUGGUGCCACGCUUGUCCCCACCAGCCCUGAUAUAACUGUGCUUUAGGCAAUAAACCACGCGGAAGGGGCUCUCCUGGUGCA
rnacentral:lncRNA from 1 species